rnacentral:misc_RNA from 1 species
AACUUAUUUGUUCAGGUCAAAAAAAAACAAUUACCUUCUUGAGCUUUUUAUUCGCUGUAGGCAUAGUAACAUGUCAAUGACGGAUGAUACUGAAACUGGCAAGUGCAACUUGCCGAGUCAGAGGGAUGCGUGUUUUUUAGAUGCCCUUUCCAAUUCCAACUUUCGGUUUAAUUCUUCAUGGCAGUAAAAUUGUGUUUAGCAACUAUUCAAGUGCUUAUUGUAGAGAGAUUUUAAGCCGUAAUUACUAUAUGGUUAUUCUUAAUUUUCCUCGAGCAGACCCAUGCCUGUAGCUCUGGGAACUGUCUGCAUAUCCUAUAUAAAUGUAAGCAGGAAGUCACUGCUGGUUGAACUGGCGUGCAAAAGAUUUAUUUCUACCCUAGGAUUUGGUUGUGAAUUUUUCACCAUAUUGUAAUUACGGCUUAAAAUCUC